CCUACGGGAGGCAGCAGUGGGGAAUAUUGCACAAUGGGGGAAACCCUGAUGCAGCGACGCCGCGUGAGUGAAGAAGUAUUUCGGUAUGUAAAGCUCUAUCAGCAGGGAAGAAAAUGACGGUACCUGAUUAAGAAGCCCCGGCUAACUACGUGCCAGCAGCCGCGGUAAUACGUAGGGUGCAAGCGUUGUCCGGAAUCAUUGGGCGUAAAGAGUUCGUAGGCGGCAGGUAAAGUCAGGUGUUAAAGGCGCAGGCUCAACCUUGGUAUGGCACUUGAUAGUUGCAAGAUGGAAUGCGGUAGAGGUAAAGGGAAUUCCUGGUGUAGCGGUGAUAUGCUUAGAUAUCAGGAGGAACAUCGGUGGCGUAAGCGCUUUACUGGGCCGUAAUUGACGCUGAGGAACGAAAGCCAGGGUAGCAAAUGGGAUUAGAUACCCCUGUAGUC
rnacentral:rRNA from 1 species